UGCAUAAUCCAAUAAGCGGAGGAAAAGAAACCAACAGGGAUUGCCCUAGUAACGGCGAGUGAACAGGCAAGAGCUCAGAUUUGAAAGGCACUUUUGUGCCGUUGUAUUCUGAAGUUAGGGUCCUGAGAAACGAUGCUUAAGUCUUCUGGAAAGGAGCGCCAUGGAGGGUGAUAGCCCCGUCUAGCAUUGACCUCAUAUAGGAUCUUAACAUGGAGUCGAGUUGUUUGGGAAUGCAGCUCAAAUGGGUGGUAUGCUCCAUCUAAAGCUAAAUAUCUGCGAGAGACCGAUAGUAAACAAGUACUGUGAGGGAAAGAUGAAAAGAACUUUGAAAAGAGAGUGAAAAAGUACGUGAAAUUGUUGAAAUGGAAGGGUAGGCCGCUAACCAUGUAGAGCCGUGUUUGGGGGGAAGAUAAAUGCUGUAGAAUGUAGCUCCUCGGAGUAUUAUAGAUGCAGUUCAUAUUCCCACCCGAGCGCGAGGAUCUCAGGUUCUACUAAAUGGUGGUCUACCACCCGUCUUGAACCACGGAACCA
rnacentral:rRNA from 1 species